CCCGCGCUCCUCCGGGCAGAGCGCGUGUGGCGGCCGAGCACAUGGGCCCGCGGGCCGGGCGGGCUCGGGGCGGCCGGGACGAGGAGGGGCGACGACGAGCUGCGAGCAAAGAUGUGCCCCGGGACCCCCGGCACCUUCCAGUGGAUUUCCUUGCGGAAAGGAUGUUGGCGGUCCCUGUGACCUGUGGAGACACGGCCAGAUCUGCCCUCCAGCCUGAUCUUUUGGCCAGAAGGAGAUUAAAAAGAUGCCCCUCAAGAUGGCUGUGCCUGUCAGCUGCAUGGAGCUUCGUUCAAGUAUUUUCUGAGCCUGAUGGAUUUACAGUGAUCUUCAGUGGUCUGGGGAAUAACGCUGGUGGAACCAUGCACUGGAAUGACACACGCCCGGCACAUUUCAGGAUACUAAAAGUGGUUUUAAGGGAGGCUGUGGCUGAAUGCCUCAUGGAUUCUUACAGCUUGGAUGUCCAUGGGGGACGAAGGACUGCAGCUGGCUGAGAGGGUUGAGAUCUCUGUUUACUUAGAUCUCUGCCAACUUCCUUUGGGUCUCCCUAUGGAAUGUAAGACCCCGACUCUUCCUGGUGAAGCAUCUGAUGCACGUUCCAUCCGGCGCUCAGCUGGGCUUGAGCUGACCAUACUCCCUGGAGCCUUCUCCCGAGGUGCGCGGGUGACCUUGGCACAUACAGCCAUCAUGAUGGUACUUUAAGUGGAGGCUGAAUCAUCUCCCCUUUGAGCUGCUUGGCACGUGGCUCCCUUGGUGUUCCCCUUUUACUGCCAGGACACUGAGAUUUGGAGAGAAUCCUGUUACACCUGGGAUUUAGGCACUUUCAAUCUGAAAAAAUACAUAUCCUUUCAGCACUCUGGACGGACUUGAGAACUGUCCUUACGUGACCUAAAGCUGGAGUAUUUUGAGAUUGGAGAAUUAAGGCCAACAGAGAUUUUGAGAAACACAUUGAAGGAUCUGUUAACACUUGAUAUACCCAAUAAAAGCAGUGGUUGUGCCAGUGCUGAUCUGUCUUGAUGUGAAUGUGAACAAUGGGAACCUGAGCUGAGCAGUUAAUGCUAGGGUGACAGAAACUGGACCUCUCCCAAGACAUGUGACAGAGUAAUACAGCAGCCAACUUCUUCGCCAAAUUAAAGUUUUACAAGAUUUAACCUGUCAUCAAGACCUGGGAUUUUGGUGAGCCAGUCUUGGUGCUCUGUGUUCACCUGGUUCAUCUGAGGAGCUGCAUCUACCCUGCCCAUGCCAUAGAUCCUGCCCUGUUUGCUUCUCCUGUUGCUGCUAGUGGACAUGAGGUAACCACAGCCUAGUUCUGUGAUAAGCUCUUCACACCUGUACCCAUAUGGACUGUGGGAGAGUUUCUCUGAUAUGGACUGUGAUGCGGCAAAACUUUGUGGUUUCUGCUCUGAAUGUCAGGGUAACCCUGUCUGAGGAUGAUCACGGAUUUCAUUUUCCCUUGUUUGUUAGCGUUGCGGUCAGCCGCAAGUUGAAAACAAGGAACCAGCUUGAGAAGGACAGAAUAACGGGCUCCCAGAUUCACAAGCCCCACCAAGAGGAUCACCCCAGGAACGCUUGGAGGCUGAGGAGUUCACUGAGGCUACUGCAUCUUGAGACUCAGGAUGAAGACCCAGCUUGGGGCUGUCAAAGGUUUUUUGCAUGUCUGACACCCAUGACUCCACCUGGACCUUAUGGCUCCACCCAGAAGCAAUUCAGCCCAACAGGAGGACAGCUUCAACCCAUUACGAUUUCAUCUCUGCCCCAACCACUCAGCAGCAAGCACCUGUUACCUGUCCACCCCCACCCCUUCCCCCAAACUGCCUUUGAAAAAUCCCUAACCUAUGAGCUUUGAAUAAGAUGAGUACGAACUUCAUCGCCCACGUGGCGUGGCCGGCCUCGUGUCUAUUAAAUUCUUUUUCUACUACAA
rnacentral:lncRNA from 1 species